rnacentral:lncRNA from 1 species
GACAAGUGUCCCUAAGCUGAUAACAUGAUGAAGAGCUUUUGUGUUCCUUGAUUUUCCCUCAGCUUUGUGAGGAAAAGAAUACCACAUGAAGAAGAACAACUCAAGCAGGGAUUUGGAUGAUAAAGCAUAUGAUCACCCUACCAAAGAGAGGAAAUGAGCCAGACGACCCAUGUGUCUAUUUCAAACGGUGUGGACUGAUCCGCAGCCCUGUGCCACUGCCCAGAUGAGCGGUGUGCACCACCUCUGCCUUGCCCUACCCCGCCCUGCUCGGGUCUCCAGGAAGGCUGGAGCGGAACCCUCGGCUCCCGCGCUGCUCU